AGCAAUUGACGGUGGAAUAAAAGACAACAUUUCCACCACGGCUGAUUGUUGAGGGUCUUCAUGCAAUCAUAGUGACAGAUAGGGAUGGUGUCCCAGUUAUUAAAGAUUGUGCAGUUUAACCGGUUACCGUUGGUGAUCAGUUUCAUCGCAUGCAGUAGUGCCAACACAGGUUUGAUUAUCCGUCUGGAGAAGGAGCUUGUACCACUAAUCGAAGAGCUAUGGCAGGUAGUGGAGGUUGCUUAGGAGUGUAUCACCUUGACAGCAAUGGGACUAUUCUGUGACAGAGUCAGUCAUGAAAAAGGAUCUACUACAUAUUUUUAAUAUCUCUAUC